UACGUAGGGGGCGAGCGUUGUCCGGAUUUAUUGGGCGUAAAGAGCGUGUAGGCGGCCAGGUAGGUCCGUUGUGAAAACUCGAGGCUCAACCUCGAGACGUCGAUGGAAACCAUCUGGCUAGAGUCCGGAAGAGGAGAGUGGAAUUCCUGGUGUAGUGGUGAAAUGCGUAGAUAUCGGGAGGAACACCAGUGGCGAAGGCGGGUCUCUGGACAGUUCCUGACGCUGAGGCACGAAGGUCAGGGGAGCAAACGGGG
rnacentral:rRNA from 1 species